GCUGGCGGCGUGCUUAACACAUGCAAGUUGAACGUGAAGCCUAGUACUUAGUAUUGGGUGGAAAGUGGCGAACGGGUGAGUAACACGUUGGUGACCUGUCCCGAGGAGGGGGAUAACCGUGGGAAACCAUGGCUAAUACCCCGGAUGUCUAGGUGGUUAGAGGGCCUAGACUAAAGCUCCGGCGCCUUGGGAGGGGCCUGCGGGCUAUCAGCUUGUUGGUGGGGUAACGGCCUACCAAGGCUAAGACGGCUAGGGGGCGUGAGAGCGCGACCCCCCACAAUGGAACUGAGACACGGUCCAUACUCCUACGGGAGGCAGCAGUGAGGAAUAUUGCGCAAUGGGGGCAACCCUGACGCAGCAACGCCGCGUGGACGAUGAAGGCCUUCGGGUUGUAAAGUCCUUUUCUGAGGGGCGAUAAUGACGGUACCUCAGGAAUAAGUCCCGGCUAACUACGUGCCAGCAGCCGCGGUAAAACGUAGGGGGCGAGCGUUAUCCGGAUUUACUGGGCGUAAAGCGCACGUAGGCGGCGCCGUAAGUUGGACGUGAAAGCUCUCGGCUCAACUGAGAGAGGUCGUUCAAUACUGCGG
rnacentral:rRNA from 1 species